AUUGAACGCUGGCGGCGGGCUUAACACAUGCAAGUCGAGCGGAGAUGAGGUGCUUGCACCUUAUCUUAGCGGCGGACGGGUGAGUAAUGCUUAGGAAUCUGCCUAUUAGUGGGGGACAACAUUCCGAAAGGAAUGCUAAUACCGCAUACGUCCUACGGGAGAAAGCAGGGGAUCUUCGGACCUUGCGCUAAUAGAUGAGCCUAAGUCGGAUUAGCUAGUUGGUGGGGUAAAGGCCUACCAAGGCGACGAUCUGUAGCGGGUCUGAGAGGAUGAUACGCCACACUGGGACUGAGACACGGCCCAGACUCCUACGGGAGGCAGCAGUGGGGAAUAUUGGACAAUGGGGGGAACCCUGAUCCAGCCAUGCCGCGUGUGUGAAGAAGGCCUUAUGGUUGUAAAGCACUUUAAGCGAGGAGGAGGCUACUGAGACUAAUACUCUUGGAUAGUGGACGUUACUCGCAGAAUAAGCACCGGCUAACUCUGUGCCAGCCGCCGCCGCGG
rnacentral:rRNA from 1 species